UACGGAGGGUGCGAGCGUUGUCCGGAAUUAUUGGGCGUAAAGGGUGCGUAGGCGGUUUGGUAAGUCUGAUGUGAAAUCUAUGGGCUCAACUCAUAGUCUGCAUCGGAAACUGCCGGGCUUGAGUAUGGGAGAGGUGAGUGGAAUUCCUGGUGUAGCGGUGAAAUGCGUAGAUAUCAGGAGGAACACCAAUGGCGAAGGCAGAUCUCUGGGCCGUAACUGACGCUGAGGAGCGAAAGCAUGGGGAGCGAACAGG
rnacentral:rRNA from 1 species